CUGCAGAGGAGGCGGAGGGGGCCACCGCAGGCCUCCAGGGAGAGCCCACGGGACACUUUUUGGUUUAGAGAUACACGUCUUCCCCGUAUGGAGUGGUACUGCUCAGAAAACCCAUUCCACAGCAGGGUGGGUCCCAGGAUCAUGGCCUGAGGCACCACUGGCCCUGGGCACGACACAGCAGGGCAGGGCCCGCGGCCAGCUCCCUGUCACUGUCACAACCUGGAACAAGGUCUGGGACAACCGAGGGUCGGGAAACGGGCAAAUGCUACUGGCUGCACUGGGCACUCACCUUGCUUUCUACAAGAAUGGCAUUUUUGUCCCCCCUCCCCAAUUCAAGGACAUGGGUCCUCCUGGACAGCUGAUGUCCCCCGAGUGACGCCGUGCGCCGGGCAGACACGCCGCCGGCCCCCACCCGGGGUCUCUGUGUGCUGCCCUUGGCCACCAGGCCUGAGUCAGACUGCCGAUGGAGAAAGGUCAACUAAAGACAAGCACCCUCUUCAUCGUCCUCCCCCCGGAGGACGGACCUGGCUGUCUGUGACCAGCCGCAGAUGUUUUCCCAAACGAGCCCGAGGAGGU